rnacentral:snRNA from 1 species
AGCUUUGCGCAGAGGCGGUGUCGUACCUAAUGAAGUGUAAACUGAGGGGCGACUAUUGCUAGUUGAAAACUUCCCA